rnacentral:rRNA from 1 species
CAAAGAGAAGCAAAGCCGCGAGGUAGAGCAAAUCUCAAAAAAACAUCUCAGUUCAGACUGCAGGCUGCAACUCGCCUGCACGAAGUCGGAAUUGCUAGUAAUCGUAGGUCGGCAUACUACGGUGAAUACGUUCCCGGGCCUUGUACACACCGCCCGUCAAACCAUGAGAGUUGGCAACACCCGAAGUCGGUAGUCUAACCGCAAGGAGGACGCCGCCGAAGGUGGGGUUGAUGAUUAGGGUUAAGUCGUAACAAGGUAAC